CUUAAAUCCUAUCAGAAUCGAGUCGGUGCAAAGCCUGGUUUGUCGUGGGCUAAUGCGUGCUGAAAAAUUGGAUACACUAAUAAUUAAACCAUCUUAAUCAACAUCUGUCUUAAUUGUGAUGCCAAAUUUGCCAAGAGAAGCCUUUGAAUACCUAUAACGGUGGCAUCGCAUUUUCGAAUGAUCAAUCAUUGUCUUCGAAGUAUUCUUUCAUAUCCUAAAUAAUAGAAAAACUAAUUGGAACUCGUUAACAUGGACGUCACUAAGAUAUUCUAUUAUUUACUCUAUUUUACGAACAUUUCGCUACACGCAUUGGGAUUGGCAUGCGCAUUGAACCGAAAGUAUAAGUAGUCCGUUACAUCGGGGACUGUAGCAGAACAAAUUUUGAGCGCUAGUGGAAUUGUUGCUCACAACGUUUUGAAGAUCAAACCCAAAAAUGAAUCUGCACCAACUCUACAUUCCCAUCAGCGUCGUCCUCUGUAUCCUAGCAACAGUGACCGUCACCUACACUGCCACUGCCUCGCUAGAAGAAGUCGAAGCCGAAGCAACCGAAAAUUUACCGCCAAAUAUCAGAUACUUUUUAAACAACAUGAAAAAUGACGGACUGUCCUUACAAGCGCCUCCUCACGUUUACAUGAACAAGUUAAAGCGUUAUUUCGACGCUGACGCGAAGAACAAGCGCAGCGGUUUUUGGAUUUGGAUGCCCGCGCAAGGUUAUGUAUCCGUGCCCAAUGAACAAAUCUCAGAGGGAACUAAAGGCAACGGAGGCGGUAACGUCCUUAGAUAUGGCUAAUGCUGCGGUGCUUAGAAAUUUGUUUAUAAACAUUUAAUUUGAACGACUAUAUAUAUGUGUACAUUUGCUAAAAUGGUAUAACAUCUGUGUUCGGUUUGUACAAGUAAUAAUGAUCUGAAUAAAAUUUUAUUUAAAAUU